UACGUAGGGAGCGAGCGUUGUCCGGAAUCACUGGGCGUAAAGGGUGCGUAGGCGGUCAUUUAAGUCAGAUGUGAAAUACCCGGGCUUAACUUGGGGGGUGCAUCUGAUACUGGACGACUUGAGUACAGGAGAGGAAAGUGGAAUUCCUAGUGUAGCGGUGAAAUGCAUAGAUAUUAGGAGGAACACCAGUGGCGAAGGCGGCUUUCUGGACUGUAACUGACGCUGAGGCACGAAAGCGUGGGGAG
rnacentral:rRNA from 1 species